rnacentral:lncRNA from 1 species
AGUCAUAAUAAUAUUGCAUUAUGAGAGCCUGCCUAUACAGAAGAAGAAGCUAUUCAGAAACCCAGCCUGCUCUGGGCCUAGAAAUGGGAGAGAAGAAAAGGCUCUUAUGAAUUACUUCCCAAUGCCACAGACUGGUUACCAUGUGAAAAUGAGUCCACCUGUGAGAAAUUGAGCUGCAAGGGGAGGGAGGUGAAGGCCAUUGUUCCAUUUCUCUACCUACAGCUGCUGAGUGCAGAUGCUGGGCUGCCCUUCCUUGUUAGAGAUAAGAACCAGCAGGCAAAGCUGCAGCCAGGAAAUCUGGACCUCCUUCCCCAGUAACCUGUGGAGAUUCAGUUUCUGUUGAGCAUAUAUGCUGGGAAGGGAAACUACUAGGAAAGGCAACUGGUUCCAGUGUACCAGAGCUCCACUAAGCUGGUCUAGCAGAUCUGGCUGGCUCACCAGGGCAGCACCAGAGUGAGAAAAAUCUAUGGGAGAAUGAACUAUCAAUAUAAGUGCACAUUUAACACUUCCUUGAAGGUCAGCGCGGAAUUGCUCUCGUUUCAAAAGCCUGCUGCCUGCUGGGAAGGACAGCCAGCCGCCAGUUCCAGGUUAGGACAUAUUUUCAGGGAAACGGUAAGUUACGCUGAUGGAGACAACAUGUCAUGGAUAGAAGCACAACUGUCUUCCCUUGUGUGGCAUCUGAGAGGCAACCCACAAUGUGGGUUGAUCACAUCUUUCUUACCUUGAGAAACACCCAGCUUCCAUCAAUUCUGAGACAUACAAAUUAAACACAGCGAAUAUUCUUGAAAUAUUCUUUUUGCUGUUGCAGUCAGAUAUUGACUAUACCUCAUCAUUCAGCUUUCAGCAUGUUGACACCCCUGAAAUCUCUUUUUCCAUUACGACCCCCAAAAUGCAACUUUGGUUCUUCCCUAAGGGAUGUGUCACUCAAUGUUUCUCUUCCUCCGUCUAAGUUUUGACAAUCAAUUAAUAUAAUGAUGAUUCAAA